rnacentral:lncRNA from 10 species
UACUUAGAUCACAUGACGACUCAAAGAGGAUGACAUAUUUCUACUGUCUGGCCUGGGUCAUAUGCUCACUGUUGCAAAAAGAUAGAAAAGACUGCUGUUGGACCACAAAUAUUGUCAGUAAGCCAGCAAGAAGGCAGGCCCUCAGCUGAAUGGCCACAAGGAAAUAAAUUCUACCAACACUGUGAGAAAAUUUGGAUAUGGAAUCAUCCUCAGUCAAGCCAUCAGAUGAAAACACAGCCUGUCAAAUACCUUGAUUAUAGCCUUUUGAGACCCUAACCAGUCAGGAAUCUAAGAGACCAGUAAAAGAUAACCUUAUGAUACAUUAUGUGCUGUUGCAUUUCUACUCUUUCCGGAUGCGAAAGUGGAUAUUGACUUCAUAAAUUCAACACUACUUGACUUUGAUUGACAGAUUUCACAUGCCAUGUUCUGUGUGCUUCAAGAUCCGUAAAAUAGGUUUAAAGGAUCUAUGAAUGGCAAAACUGUUGACUUGAAGACCAACUAGAGAAGGUUCAAGAAUGCUAUGGCAAUUGUCAUGAUGUGUCCACUGUGCAUUUUCCUUCUGGCUCCCCGACCUUCUCAGAUGUUUCAGAUAAGAGUUUUUGUUAGCUAAUAGAUCAAGUUGUAUUAUGGAAACCAUUGCAGUCUAAUUUCAUCUGUGUUUAUGAAAAUCUUGCAUAUAUUCUACCUGUAUUGUAUUUUACCUAAGUUAUUAAAAUAUAGUAGCUGGUGAACCAAGACUGUUGUUAUUAUUGUCAUUAUUCUUGUCUUUUUCUCCUCCUCCUUAACAUUAGUUAUAACUUUUCUUUUU